rnacentral:lncRNA from 12 species
AAGGAUUUCCUUUGACUUUUUCUUUUCUUUUAGGCUUUAAAUAAACAUUCAAAUAAACACAUCUCUUAAGAAGGCUGAUUCUCACACCUAGUUCUUCUUUGGUCCUUUGGUCAAGAUACCAUAAUCUGAUUAUUUUCUCUGUGGCAUAAAUCUUGACAGGAAGGAUGUUGGUUAGGUAUACCAGUUAGCUCCCAACACAGUGUAACCAAAGGUUGUCACAGAAAUGCAGUGAACAAAUAUUGAAAGUCACUUUUACAUGCUUUUUUUUUUUUUUUUUCACAGACUACCACGGUGGACUGAGUCUUUGAAAAGCCAAGUCAUCAUUCCAGUCUUCAGGACAGAUGAAAAAUCUCUAUACUUUUCCACCGUAGAAUCUAGGUAUAUGAUUAGGAACCUGGAUAUUCUGACUUCUGGGUCCCUUCCAGACUUCCUGAGUCUGAAUUUCUGAGUAACCAUAAGAAUAAAUCACUAAAAAGGGGGAUAUGGUGACUGAUGGAGCUAAGGCAAUCUUGUCUGUGGCCUUUCUCCAUCUCUGCCAGGGCGGGCAUCCUCAUGACUGCAACAGCCCUACCAAACCUCUGUCAUCCUCCAAGCUAGACCUGAGAUAUCCCAUCGGUGUGCCACCCCCCGCCCCUACCCUGGGGCUUGUUGUCGCCAUUCGUAAGAAGCUGGUAUGGAUUGGAAAGAAGUGAUAUAGCUCUCUCUGGGCACAUAAGGAGUCUGCUGUGAAAAUUAAUUCAGACAAAAUAAUGGAGUUCUCCUAGAAAGCCUCAGUCUGCAGUGAAAAAGCAAAUUUCAUAAAGGAAGUUUCUGCAAUGAACACACCUCUCAAGCUCGCUCUCUCAUUUGUCCUGGAUGUGUCAGCUUGUCAUAAAGCCU